GGACGAUGCCCUUGAUGCUACUGGGAGGUCAUAGAGGACGAUGCCCUUGAUGCUACUGGGAGGUCAUAGAGGACGAUGUCCUUGAUGCUACUGGGAGGUCAUAGAGGACGAUGUCCUUGAUGCUACUGGGAGGUCAUAGAGGACAAUGUCC